rnacentral:rRNA from 1 species
GAGUUUGAUCCUAUACGCUAGCUAUAUCCCUUAAUACAUGCAGUCGAACUUGCAAAGCUUCCGCUUCCCGGGCAGUAAGGGUUUGGCCAUGAAGAGAAGAGUCACGCGAUUUUCAACAAGGCUUAGAUAAGCACUCGCCUCUCCAUUUUCAAAAGGGAGCCCUAAUAUGGUUCGCCAUAUAAUAGUGGCCCUAGGUUUUAAAGCCAAGCAAGCCCUUUUAUAUAAUAUACGGUUCAAGUUUGAAAGAGGCGGCUUUAAAGCGUUUUUAAGGGGGAGAGCUCUCUAUCUAUGACCCGGGUCGGUUCUUCUUUCUUUUUANGGAACAGCUGAGAACAAAGUGGCGAACGGGUGCGUAACGCGUGGGAAUCUGCCGAACAGUUCNGGCCAAAUCCUGAAUUCCCAUUCCCUCUCUAUUUGAAAGCUCACUGCACCCUCUCUAUUUGAAAGGGGAAUUCUUAANAGGCUNAACGCUCAGCUCUUAAAAACAUGGGGCUCUUGCUCUUAAAAAGGGGGGGGCUNUUUCUUNUUUCUAGAGANGGGCCAUGCUUU